rnacentral:rRNA from 1 species
UACGUAGGGGGCAAGCGUUGUCCGGAUUUACUGGGCGUAAAGAGCGUGUAGGCGGCCAAGCAGGUCCGUUGUGAAAACUGGAGGCUUAACCUCCAGACGUCGACGGAAACCGCGUGGCUAGAGUCCGGAAGAGGAGAGUGGAAUUCCUGGUGUAGCGGUGAAAUGCGCAGAUAUCAGGAAGAACACCAAUGGCGAAGGCAGCUCUCUGGGACGGUACUGACGCUGAUGAGCGAAAGCUAGGGGAGCAAACGGG